rnacentral:rRNA from 1 species
UACGGGGGGAGCAAGCGUUGUUCGGAUUUACUGGGCGUAAAGGGCGCGUAGGCGGCCACCGCAAGUCGACUGUGAAAUCUCCGGGCUUAACCCGGAAAGGUCAGCCGAUACUGCGGGCUAGAGUGCAGAAGGGGCAACUGGAAUUCUCGGUGUAGCGGUGAAAUGCGUAGAUAUCGAGAGGAACACCUGCGGCGAAGGCGACUCACUGGACACGUAUUGACGCUGAGGUGCGAAAGCGUGGGGAGCAAACAGG